rnacentral:misc_RNA from 1 species
UCGUUGUGUGAUGUGAUUUAGAAUUUAAGUUUGCUGGCAGACCCUAGCUUCUUAUCAUUCCAGGACUCAAUCAAUUGAGAUGAGGUUGAUAGGACGCUGGGCUCACUGUAAUUCGCAAGAAUUGCAGAGAUGUUCAGUAGAACCUUGACAACUGCAUAGGUAAGUCUGGAAAGAAUAAAGCAUCUCAUGGAUGCAUGAUUCUUGGGAAUCAACUGAUGCAAUCUGCGCGAGCAGAGAGCUGAGGUUGAUGAACGAGAAUGAUGUUUGAUUCUUGAGUCAAGAGCCGAGACUCUAUAGCGUUCUUUCGAUGUCAUCGAGGCAUCGAGAGUUUGAUUGGUGAUUCAAACCAUUUUCAAUGACAAACAAUUCAGUUUAACU